rnacentral:rRNA from 1 species
AGGGUUUGAUUAUGGCUCAGAACGUACGCUGGCGGCACGCCUAACACAUGCAAGUCGAACGAAGUAGCAAUACUUAGUGGCGAACGGGUGAGUAUAAUGUGGGUAUCUGCCCUUUGGUUUGGAAUAACACGAGGAAACUUGUGCUAAUACUGGAUAAGCCUUCACAGGGAAAGCUUUAGCGCCAAAGGAUGAGCCCACACUUGAUCAGCUUGUUGGUAAGGUAAAAGCUUACCAAGGCUACGAUCAAUAGCUGAUCUGAGAGGAUGAUCAGCCACAUUGGGACUGAGACACGGCCCAAACUCCUACGGGAGGCAGCAGUGGGGAAUCUUGCACAAUGGGGGAAACCCUGAUGCAGCGAUGCCGCGUGAGUGAAGAAGGCCUUUGGGUUGUAAAGCUCUUUCGUCGGGGAAGAAAAUGACUGUACCCGAAUAAGAAGGUCCGGCUAACUUCGUGCCAGCAGCCGCGGUAAUAC